UAGAUGCUCUAAACCGAAGGCACAGAGAGAGUUACCGCACCUCCACUUCCCAUUGCAUUCCUCUUGUGUAAAAAAAAAGUCGAAGUGAAGUGAGCUCCUCUGGUCGGAGAGGAGCAGAGCAGAGAUGGCCGGAGCCGGGGAAGACGAAGCAGCUCCUCCUCCCCAUCCCCCUUCUCUAGAUCGACAGCAGCCCAUGGAAGAGGCGCUGGCGGCGGCCAAGAGGAGAAGGUCGGAGCACUACCACGGCGUCGCCGACGGGCCGUCCUUCCGCAUGGAGGACCUUCCGGCGGAGGUUCAGCCGGUUAUAAUCUCACUGCUGCCACUGAAAGAGGCCGUGAGGACAAGCAUUGUUUCAAGAAGUUGGAGAAUGCUCUGGAGAUUCCACUGCGAUCUAUGUUUCAAUGAACGCGGUGAUGUGGAUUCUAACACCGAUGACAAUUCCGCUGAUCAGGUUAAUGGCACUGGCACCAAUGACCAAUCCACUAAUCAGUGUGGUACCAAAAUAACACGAGCAAAGUUCAUUGAGACUGUAAAUUCAGUUAUUCAACAGCAUAGUGGGGUAGGAAUCAAUAAGUUCAGCAUCAAGUGUGGCCUGCUCAUCGAGGACUCUGAACAUCUUGACAGGUGGAUUGAGUUUGCCGCUUCAUCAAAGGCAAAAACAAUAGAUUUUGAUUUGAAGAUAUUUGAUUACCCAGUUGAAGAAGUUCCCCAUUUUCCUCUUGAGGCCUUAGAUGCUCAAGGUAGCUCACUUGUGCAGUCCUUGUCUCUUGCCAGUGUUUCUAUAAAGCCAAGCUCAGGAAUAUGCCGCUUUACAAUACUCAGAAGGCUUGUUUUGAAAUCUGUUCAGAUAUUUGGAGAUUUUCCAGGCUUGCUUGCAAAUUGUUCAAGACUUGAGGACUUAGAGAUCAUCAGGUGUUCUGGUGUGGAUGACUUCAUCGUACCAAACAGACUCGAUAAACUUCAAAAUUUGCUGAUUGCUGGAACGGAUGUCCAGAUGGUUGUUAUUCAUGCAGCUGAUCUUGCUCAUUUUGAGUAUGAAGGACGACUGAUCCCUAUAGUGCUUCAUGGUUGCUCAAAAUUAGAGAAGGCAACAAUUGCGUUUGAUCCACUAAUCCUUAUGCACUGGCCCAUGCAUUCAAUAUAAUUACAAGCAUUUCCCCAGUGAAGAUAUUAAUUGUGCGAGCUAUUAUAUCAACAUAUGCACAGUCCCUGGAGCUGCCAUUAAGACCACAGGGCAUGUUUAUGCAUCUGAGGCAUAUGACUUGUCAAAUUGUCGUCUAUUGUAGAGAAUUAAAUGAAGAUAAUGGACUUCUUCAACUGGCCCAUUGGUUGGACGCUGCACCCCGACUGGAGACGUUGCACUUGCAUAUGCACUAUCUGAGUCCCGGUGCUUUCUUCAGUGCCGAGGUGGCGGGGGCGGAAGGUCCCUGUAUGUGUCGCCAUGAUCAUCUUAAGACGGUCUUCAUGGGUGGGUUUCAGUGUUACAAGUCUCAGAUUGAGCUGGCGUGCUCUAUCUUGGGAAAUGCUUUUGUACUUGAGCAGCUGACAAUCGAACCAAGGCUCACAGAAGCAAUAUGGGGUGAUAAGUCUUACCAGUGGAAUAUAGGCCUUGAAAGAAUUUUACCAAGGGUCUGUGAAUGGGCACAGCGAACCUCGAAGCGCUUUGGUAAGGUGAUCACCGUCUUAGAUGCCCCCCUUCACAGUUGGUAUCGCGACGAAUCUGCCGUUUGUUUGGGUGAAUGCCAACCGAGCCCGGUUCCAUCCUCCAGCAAAUUUUGCUGAAUGUUUCGGAUCACCCAGUUCACUGCAUCGACAUCACUUGAAAGAUGGCCAUGAGGAGAGGAAGGAGGGUGAUUGUCGCCGGAUCUGCGCCCUGAGACGAGAACACCAUUGGUGGGUAGGCGGCACUUGUCGGUGGCGACACCUGGUUCCCACUGGGUCCAGGACAAGAGAAAAGUAUCAGUAUUAGCUCAUGAAUGAUGUACAUGCGUGUAUAUCGUUGUUAGAUUGCUGUAGCUAAAUGAACUAUUUCUGCAAGCCCAAGGGAAACUACUGACGCUACCAUGUUACUUGUAAACUGACAACUCGCGCACACAUUGCGGCCAAUUUGAGCAUGAGCAGAGAGCAUCUCAAGGAGAGUACCCCUAUCCCACCUCCAAAAUUUAGAAAACUGCCAAUAACUCAACUUUGCUGCUCGAAUAGAUU